rfam:Parcubacteria bacterium GW2011_GWA2_31_28 TR15_C0012, whole genome shotgun sequence.
GCUCCCGUAGCUCAGCCUGGAUAGAGCAUUGGACUUCUAAUCCAAGGGUCGCAGGUUCAAGUCCUGCCGGGAGCG